UGUGUUGCAGAGUUACUAUAGUUCCCAUGACGAUGUUGAGAAACCAGGACAGGAUGAUGAAGUUAAUAUUGGGUACUUGAGGGAGAUGUUGACUUUGUUGAGAAAUUUCCAUGAGAAGUUUGUUAAAGCAAUGAUCAUAUAGUCUACCAAGGAUCUCACAGCUGUGCCAUUCAAAGACAGCAACUCCCAGCUGAAUGACAACAUCAUUGCCACUGGUGAUUAUCAUUGCCACUGGUGUAAUGACAAGAGCCAUGUAGGUUGUCACCGUGGACCAUGAGGAUGAAAUUCAACCAUCAUCACUACAGAGGGCAUUAAGAAAAAUCUACUAUGCAGGACAUCAAAGGUGCUGGCCAAAUUUCUUUUCAAGGAUAUGGUGGUAUUCAACCUUGGCUUCCCAAAUCCAGCAAAUGGAGGAGAUCUACAUGUACCACCAACUGCCCUAACUGUGCUAGCACAGGGAUUCACUUCCCUAGUGCCCCAGGAUCAAUGGGAAUAAAGGAAAGAGGAAUUCAUGGACUACCAAACAACUCCUGCUGUGGACCUCCCAAGUUUUGUGGAAAACACAAAAACAGAUGUCUACUGCAUGGGAUAGAAUUCUGGACAAAAGAAAUAAAAUUUCCAGUGAUGAUUAGGGCUGGGACUAUAUAUAUCGAGAUAUCUGUGAGGACGAUAGGCAUAUUGAUACAUGUGAAAAAAUAUAGAAAUAUUGUCCCAAAAAAUCUGACUUCCAUUUUUAAAUGUUUAUUUAACAUUUGGGGUUUAAUGUAUAAAAUAAUUAAGCUAAAUAUAAAUAUAGAUUUGAAAUAAAUAAUAAUUUACAUCACUUACAAUUGAGUAAAAUAUUUUUGUGAAAUAAUUUGAUAAUUUCAGUGCAAAAAAAGAUUUUUUGUAAGCAAUUAAACAUAUCAUGAUACAUAUCGUAUUGUGGCUCAAAUAUCGUGAUAUGUAUGGAUAUAGAAAAAGUUGUAUCAUCCCAGCCCUAGUGAUGAUUGAUUGUAUAUUGUUUAACAUCCCUUUCAAGAAUGUUUCACUCAUACAACAGA